rnacentral:lncRNA from 1 species
GUCGGGAGCGGUGAUUAAAAUGGACACAAAUCCGCUAAAGACUUCCAGGGCUACAACGAAGCACAGAGAGGAAAAAUGGGAAUUCCUCUCAUGAUUCCUUAUAGGGAUGGCAUCCAAUUCCCCAGGAUGCGGCUGUGCCCACAGUAUCAGUUUGGAAGUGAAAGAUGCCUCUUCCUAAACAAGUAAACUCCAUGCAGAAAUGUACACCGAUGCCCCUUGUUCCAUCUUCCAGUUACAAGAAGGAAAAUAUGUGCAAAGAAGUUAGAUGCCCUAUGAGGCAUUCUGCGUUUGCUAAUGAUUUAUUUUUUAAUGUUUGUUUGAAGUGAAGACAUCGUGAAAAUAAAUGAUAAGGCUCUUCUCGCA